AAAAACUCUUGGUGCAAAUCCAAGCAGGAACU
rnacentral:tRNA from 1 species